AACCUCCAUUUUGAAGGGAGUUACGCGCCUUUGAUGUUGGCGGCGAGAGAGUGAGAGAGGGCAGAGAAAGAGACAGUCGUUUUCUCUGCCGUCGCUCACUCUCUCAUUUACAAUUUUAAAGGCGCAUAACUCCCGUCAAAAUGGAGCUU
rnacentral:sRNA from 13 species